GAGGGAGAUCAAAAGGUAUGCCAAUUUUCUCGAGGAGAGGAAUUACUAGCUCGCAGGCUUCAAAAUGAUAACCUCCUUCCUUGCCCUCGAACCUACUAUCCAACGACAUGGAAGACUUAGCAUUGGCCUAUCACUCGAAUUCCAUUUUAUAGCACGCCAACAGGAGGGGGCUUCUUACAAAAGCACUCCAAGAACUCGCUUGAACUUUCAGAGAGAAGCAACUACUACUUCUCCAUCAAAGGAAAAAGAAGCAUCGACUAAAUAGAAGGCCCUUGAAUCUUAUCGUUAGCCUAUAGCGCUAUCUACCCUUAAGACUGACU
rnacentral:lncRNA from 1 species